GCCGCGCGAACGCGUACCCCCUCUACCACAAAUUAUGACGUCCACUCUCCCGUUUAGGGAGAUGGUAAGCCAACGCAUCCACCAAGUGCAAUGUGGACCACUAGCCUAGGCCACGGCCCUUCAUGA
rnacentral:rRNA from 1 species